CAUAAUAGGCCAGUUACUCUCAAGACACCAGCUCCCAUAUGAUGUUGGAAGCUAACCAGGGUCAGCCCUGGUUGGUACUUGGAUGGGAGACCACUAGUGAAUGACAGGUUCUUAGGC
rnacentral:rRNA from 1 species